rnacentral:rRNA from 1 species
CUGGUUGAUCCUGCCAGUAGUCAUAUGCUUGUCUCAAAGAUUAAGCCAUGCAUGUCUAAGUGUAAAUACGUCUACACUGUGAAACUGCGAAUGGCUCAUUAAAUCAGUUAUCGUUUAUUUGAUGAUCUCUUGUUACAUGGAUAACCGUAGUAAUUCUAGAGCUAAUACAUGCGUCAAGCCCCGACUCACGAAGGGGUGUAUUUAUUAGAUUCAAAGCCAACCGUGUAAAAGCGUACCUUGGUGAUUCAUAAUAACUUGUCGAACCGCACGCCCUUGAGGCAGCGGGGAUUCAUUCAAAUUU